AACCCCUCAGGCCAACAAUCGGGACACACCUCUGGCAAGUGUACACGGCUAUUUGUUCAAACUCUUAUUAAUAAAUCCAUAUAAAGAGUAAACUUAACUGACUGCAAUCAUUCUAUUCGAGGGUCAUCUAGUCAGCGCUUCCGCACUCUACGUAACUGUUUGAAAUGGACCUGUUGAAAUACCUGUUGCUAGCUCUUUUCCUGUUGAUGGGAUCAAAUGAGAUCAAAAGUGCGAACGGACAAUUUGACAAAUAUAAGUAUGGGAAACCAGGUUCAGGAAUCGGAAAACGCGCUGAAGCUGUCGACAAAAGAUGAGGAAGUUGUCGAGUUUGAUUCCAGUCUUAGGAACAGACUCUAAACAACAAUCUACAAAUUAUGUCAAUAAACAAUGAAGUACAUUGCUAGAUAAAUAAACCGGGAGUGAUCUCCCCUAAACUUU